rnacentral:rRNA from 1 species
AUUGAACGCUGGCGGCAGGCCUAACACAUGCAAGUCGAGCGAGCGGCGGACGGGUGAGUAAUGUAUGGGGACUGCCCGAUAGCGGGGGAUAACUACUGGCAACUGUGGCUAAUACCGCAUACUAUCGGAUAACCCAUAUGGGAUUAGCGAGUAGGUGGGGUAAAGGCUCACCUAGGCGACGAUCUCUAGCUGGUCUGAGAGGAUGAUCGGCCACACUGGGACCGAGACACGGCCCAGACUCCGACGGAGGCAGCAGUAGGGAAUAUUGCGCAAUGGGCGAAAGCCUGAUGCAGCCAUGCCGCGUGAAUGAAGAAGGCCUUAGGGUUGUAAAGUUCUGUCAGCGGGGAGGCGUUACCCGCAGAGGAAGCACCGGCUAACUCCGUGCCAGCAGCCGCGGUAAUUC